UACGAAGGGGGCUAGCGUUGCUCGGAAUCACUGGGCGUAAAGCGCACGUAGGCGGCUUUUUAAGUCAGGGGUGAAAUCCUGGAGCUCAACUCCAGAACUGCCUUUGAUACUGGGGAUCUCGAGUCCGGAAGAGGUGAGUGGAACUGCGAGUGUAGAGGUGAAAUUCGUAGAUAUUCGCAAGAACACCAGUGGCGAAGGCGGCUCACUGGUCCGGUACUGACGCUGAGGUGCGAAAGCGUGGGGAGCAAACAGG
rnacentral:rRNA from 1 species